AGUGAACGCUGGCGGUAGGCCUAACACAUGCAAGUCGAACGGCAGCACAGUAAGAGCUUGCUCUUACUGGUGGCGAGUGGCGGACGGGUGAGGAAUACAUCGGAAUCUUCUUUUUCGUGGGGGAUAACGUAGGGAAACUUACGCUAAUACCGCAUACGACCUACGGGUGAAAGCAGGGGAACUUCGCACCUUGGGCGAUUGAAUGAGCCGAUGUCGGAUUAGCUAGUUGGCGGGGUAAAGGCCCACCAAGGCGACGAUACGUAGCUGGUCUGAGAGGAUGAUCAGCCACACUGGAACUGAGACACGGUCCAGACUCCUACGGGAGGCAGCAGUGGGGAAUAUUGGACAAUGGGCGCAAGCCUGAUCCAGCCAUACCGCGUGGGUGAAGAAGGCCUUCGGGUUGUAAAGCCCUUUUGUUGGGAAAGAAAAGCAGCAUGUUAAUACCCCGAUGUUCUGACGGUACCCAAAGAAUAAGCACCGGCUAACUUCGUG
rnacentral:rRNA from 1 species